AAAGAAAUAAAAAAAAAUGAAGGAAAUGUUUGAUUUCUUUUAACACAGAAGAAAAAAUCAAUAUUUAUUUAAUAUUCUUUAAUAAAUUAAAAAAUUGAUCAGUUAUACGAAGGAAUUAAUCAAUCGAAUGUUAACAAUAUCUGUUUAAUGAAUUAAAUUUAUAAUUAAGGUUUAUUCCUAAUCAAUGAAAAAAAUGAAUUUCUUUUUUAAAUCGUUACUUCUUUCAAAACAAGUGACUAUACAUAGAUCAGCGCCGGAUCUAGGGUGAGGCAAGCCAGGCAGUCGUCUCUUGCGAAAAUUAUGAGGGGGAACAAAAUUGCAAUGGAAAUUUUUACACACAAGCUAAUUAUAUUCAUCUCGACAAUAUUUCGUGCUGUGGACUCGACCUACAAAGAUAUACUGAUGUAUUUUUCUAACCGAUAAUGUUAUCAACGGAGACAGAAACCAAUAACAAUUAAAUUGAUUAAUUAAUAAACAAUUACUAAACGAUUUUCCUCCUUGAAAGCAAGAAAAACUAAACUACAGUUCAUAUUUAUUAUAUUAUAAUAAAAAUCAACUCUAUCUAUUAUAAAUGUGUUUUUGGUAGUAUUUUGUUAACUAUGUCUUUCUUUGAAAAAAUGAAUAAUGUAUUUUAUAAGUUUCUCAGUGGCUACGUAUCUAAUGUCAUUACAUUCCAGGUUCAAAGUAUUACAUAUGUUUAUAUAUUAAGGCGAAGAGUGAAGAGGAGAGAGGACACCAUUUUCUAUUGUGGAUCCGAAGAACGAUUGAGACAGGCGUUAGCCUACCGCUGUGAUGCGGUUAGACGUGUGAGUAAGAAUGGCAAACUGUUCCAACACAAACAGAGACAACAACGGUUUGUUAAAACCUGGGAUCU
rnacentral:lncRNA from 1 species